GACGAACGCUGGCGGCGUGCUUAACACAUGCAAGUCGAACGGAAAGGCCCUGCUUUUGUGGGGUGCUCGAGUGGCGAACGGGUGAGUAACACGUGAGUAACCUGCCCUUGACUUUGGGAUAACUUCAGGAAACUGGGGCUACUACCGGAUAGGAGCUCCUGCUGCAUGGUGGGGGUUGGAAAGUUUCGGCGGUUGGGGAUGGACUCGCGGCUUAUCAGCUUGUUGGUGGGGUAGUGGCUUACCAAGGCUUUGACGGGUAGCCGGCCUGAGAGGGUGACCGGCCACAUUGGGCCUGAGAUACGGCCCAGACGCCUACGGGAGGCAGCAGUGGGGAAUAUUGCACAAUGGGCGGAAGCCUGAUGCAGCAACGCCGCGUGCGGGAUGAAGGCCUUCGGGUUGUAAACCGCUUUCGCCUGUGACGAAGCGUGAGUGACGGUAAUGGGUAAAGAAGCACCGGCUAACUACGUG
rnacentral:rRNA from 1 species